AAAUUGAAGAGUUUGAUCAUGGCUCAGAUUGAACGCUGGCGGCAGGCCUAACACAUGCAAGUCGAACGGUAACAGGAAGCAGCUUGCUGCUUUGCUGACGAGUGGCGGACGGGUGAGUAAUGUCUGGGAAACUGCCUGAUGGAGGGGGAUAACUACUGGAAACGGUGGCUAAUACCGCAUAACGUCGCAAGACCAAAGAGGGGGUGACCUUCGGGCCUCUUGCCAUCAGAUGUGCCCAGAUGGGAUUAGCUAGUUGGUGAGGUAACGGCUCACCAAGGCGACGAUCCCUAGCUGGUCUGAGAGGAUGACCAGCCACACUGGAACUGAGACACGGUCCAGACUCCUACGGGAGGCAGCAGUGGGGAAUAUUGCACAAUGGGCGCAAGCCUGAUGCAGCCAUGCCGCGUGUAUGAAGAAGGCCUUCGGGUUGUAAAGUACUUUCAGCGGGGAGGAAGGUGUUGUGGUUAAUAACCGCAGCAAUUGACGUUACCCGCAGAAGAAGCACCGGCUAACUCCGUGCCAGCAGCCGCGGUAAUACGGAGGGUGCAAGCGUUAAUCGGAAUUACUGGGCGUAAAGCGCACGCAGGCGGUCUGUCAAGUCGGAUGUGAAAUCCCCGGGCUCAACCUGGGAACUGCAUUCGAAACUGGCAGGCUUGAGUCUUGUAGAGGGGGGUAGAAUUCCAGGUGUAGCGGUGAAAUGCGUAGAGAUCUGGAGGAAUACCGGUGGCGAAGGCGGCCCCCUGGACAAAGACUGACGCUCAGGUGCGAAAGCGUGGGGAGCAAACAGGAUUAGAUACCCUGGUAGUCCACGCCGUAAACGAUGUCUACUUGGAGGUUGUGCCCUUGAGGCGUGGCUUCCGGAGCUAACGCGUUAAGUAGACCGCCUGGGGAGUACGGCCGCAAGGUUAAAACUCAAAUGAAUUGACGGGGGCCCGCACAAGCGGUGGAGCAUGUGGUUUAAUUCGAUGCAACGCGAAGAACCUUACCUGGUCUUGACAUCCACAGAAGAAUCCAGAGAUGGAUUUGUGCCUUCGGGAACUGUGAGACAGGUGCUGCAUGGCUGUCGUCAGCUCGUGUUGUGAAAUGUUGGGUUAAGUCCCGCAACGAGCGCAACCCUUAUCCUUUGUUGCCAGCGGUCCGGCCGGGAACUCAAAGGAGACUGCCAGUGAUAAACUGGAGGAAGGUGGGGAUGACGUCAAGUCAUCAUGGCCCUUACGACCAGGGCUACACACGUGCUACAAUGGCGCAUACAAAGAGAAGCGACCUCGCGAGAGCAAGCGGACCUCAUAAAGUGCGUCGUAGUCCGGAUUGGAGUCUGCAACUCGACUCCAUGAAGUCGGAAUCGCUAGUAAUCGUGGAUCAGAAUGCCACGGUGAAUACGUUCCCGGGCCUUGUACACACCGCCCGUCACACCAUGGGAGUGGGUUGCAAAAGAAGUAGGUAGCUUAACCUUCGGGAGGGCGCUUACCACUUUGUGAUUCAUGACUGGGGUGAAGUCGUAACAAGGUAACCGUAGGGGAACCUGCGGUUGGAUCACCUCCUUA
rnacentral:rRNA from 1 species